CGGGCCUCAAAAUGGCCACACGCGUCCCCCCGUAGCGGCAAAACGUGAGCAUUGUGGCCGUUUUUCGGGGGGAAGGCAACCUGCCACGGCCCUCGGAAGUCCCCAUCGGUGUCCUCCCUCUGUCGCCCGCUCGCCGAAGAGCUGUCGCUGCUCUUCCCUCGAUUUCUUUCGAUGGGGGGCCUUUUCCACGGACGCCCCUGCGCUCGCCGCCGCCGCCGCCGCCCCUCCCGCCUCGGAGACUCUCUUCCUUCCUUCCCCUUCUCCUUACGCAAUAUACAGAAAUGCGCGAGGCGGUGACCGCCCAGGACCACACCGCGGCCUAACUGUCGGUCUCUCGGUGAGAGAGGGGGGGAAGGCAGAGACCCCUGUGCACUCCCGGACCUCGGCUCCCGCCCCUCUCCCGUGGAAGGAGUGGAGAUCCUAUUCAGAGGGGCCGGUCUCUCUAAAUAUGCCCCAGGUGAGUUUCUGGCGAACGGCAGCGGUGGUGGUGGCGGUGGCGGUGAAAACAGUGACCAGGAAGGCCUUGGGGUCUGGCCUGGGGUGGAGAAAGCUCAGGAUGGAGGACAGGCCGGUUUCAGAUUGGGGAGGGGGAGGGGGGACAAACCCAGAGCCAGGAAUCCAGAAUCGGACUCUGCCGCUCGCUGACUGUGGCCUCUGUGCUGCUGUGGCUUCCAGCCGACCUCUUUCUUUUUUUGAUCCUAUGUGAAAAACAGCUAGUUGGCCUUAGUCCCUCAGGCUGCUCCUGUCUGUCCCGGUUCUGUGCACGUUUUACCAGGCUCAUAACUUCGGGACGGCUAUAUCCGGGUAGUGCAGGCUGAGUGCCCGGGCUCUGGCAGGAAGAAGGCCGCAGCCGUCCUGGCUAGCGCACUUCCAACUCGGGUGGGCCCUGACUGGGGCCUAAGGCCUAGAGCAGGGCCGCGCUGGAACCACCGCUCCACUCCAGGAGCAGCUGGAGAAUGGUUCUGUUCACUGGUGAUUUGGGCUCGCCUGGAGGUCAUGCGGGUGUGGAGGCCAUCCGAGGCAUGGAGGCCAGGCUGGGGCAUGGGGAGACGGGGUGGCCUGUUUCCACAUAAAAGAUUUUUCCAGCUGGGAAAUCAGGUGCCUUCCCCCGCCCCACCGCCCAGGAGCCCAGGGGUUCCCCCAGUUUUGUUCGGGCACCCAUGGAAAUGAUCUGGCAACAGGAGAGGAGGAGCGGGUCUAGGGGGCUUCAAGGUGGUUCUUGGCCACACAAAGAGUUGAAUAGUGAGUCUAGCGCUGUUCAGUUCGGAAUCUUCUCCUCGCCCUACAAAUAAACAAAAACCACUCGGGCUUUCCUCGCA
ensembl:lncRNA